rnacentral:rRNA from 1 species
GAUGAACGCUGGCGGCGUGCUUAACACAUGCAAGUCGAACGAUGAAGCCCAGCUUGCUGGGUGGAUUAGUGGCGAACGGGUGAGUAACACGUGAGUAACCUGCCCUUAACUCUGGGAUAAGCCUGGGAAACUGGGUCUAAUACCGGAUAGGAGCGUCCACCGCAUGGUGGGUGUUGGAAAGAUUUAUCGGUUUUGGAUGGACUCGCGGCCUAUCAGCUUGUUGGUGAGGUAAUGGCUCACCAAGGCGACGACGGGUAGCCGGCCUGAGAGGGUGACCGGCCACACUGGGACUGAGACACGGCCCAGACUCCUACGGGAGGCAGCAGUGGGGAAUAUUGCACAAUGGGCGCAAGCCUGAUGCAGCGACGCCGCGUGAGGGAUGACGGCCUUCGGGUUGUAAACCUCUUUCAGUAGGGAAGAAGCGAAAGUGACGGUACCUGCAGAUGAAGCACCGGCUAACUACGUG